rnacentral:rRNA from 1 species
AUGGCGCUUGCAGUUGCAGGCGAGCACGCCAACUGCUUGAUAAAAUGCCCACUGCACAGAGAGAAUGAGAAGGAAGAAGAAGAUGAGGUGGCAAGUGAGGAGAGAGGGAAAACCCGCCUACACGUGACCGGUUUUGUCAUCUACUCUGGUUUUGGACGAAAUUCGUCCGGUUUUGAGCACGAGGGACAAAUUGUCGCCCAAAACAAGUCCAUGGAUUGGAGGUCGACUUUCAGUAAACUUGAGGGACGUACUGUUUGUGCCACUCAGUACGAUGCUUGGCAAAACACAAUAGCAUUAAGUUGGGGAUUGUUAAGUUGUAAAUAA